UACGUAGGGACCAAGCGUUGUUCGGAUUUACUGGGCGUAAAGGGCGCGUAGGCGGCAAUUCAAGUCAGUUGUGAAAUCUCCGAGCUUAACUCGGAACGGUCAGCCGAUACUGCGGGGCUAGAGUGCAGAAGGGGCAACUGGAAUUCUCGGUGUAGCGGUGAAAUGCGUAGAUAUCGAGAGGAACACCUGCGGCGAAGGCGGGUUGCUGGGCUGACACUGACGCUGAGGCGCGAAAGCUAGGGGAGCGAACGGG
rnacentral:rRNA from 1 species